rnacentral:rRNA from 1 species
GCUAAGUGAGUGCCACGUGACGCGGUAAGACUAAUCGAGGGAACUUUUGUCGGAAUCACUGGGCUUAAAGUGAGUGUAGGCGGGUUACCAAGGCAGGGGUUAAAUGUGGCGGCUUAACCGUAACAGUGCCUUGGAUACUGGUAGGCUCGAGGGAGACAGGGGUCCGCGGAACUUCUGGUGGAGCGGUGAAAUGCGUUGAUAUCAGAAGGAACGCCGGUGGCGAAAGCGGCGGACUGGAUCUUUUCUGACGCUGAGGCGCGAAAGCUAGGGGAGCAAACGGGAUUAGAUACCCGAGUAGUC